rnacentral:rRNA from 1 species
ACAUGCAAGUCGAACGGUAACAGGAAGCAGCUUGCUGCUUUGCUGACGAGUGGCGGACGGGUGAGUAAUGUCUGGGAAACUGCCUGAUGGAGGGGGGAUAACUACUGGAAACGGUAGCUAAUACCGCAUAACGUCGCAAGACCAAAGAGGGGGACCUUCGGGCCUCUUGCCAUCGGAUGUGCCCAGAUGGGAUUAGCUAGUAGGUGGGGUAACGGCUCACCUAGGCGACGAUCCCUAGCUGGUCUGAGAGGAUGACCAGCCACACUGGAACUGAGACACGGUCCAGACUCCUACGGGAGGCAGCAGUGGGGAAUAUUGCACAAUGGGCGCAAGCCUGAUGCAGCCAUGCCGCGUGUAUGAAGAAGGCCUUCGGGUUGUAAAGUACUUUCAGCGGGGAGGAAGGCGAUAAGGUUAAUAACCUUGUCGAUUGACGUUACCCGCAGAAGAAGCACCGGCUAACUCCGUGCCAGCAGCCGCGGUAAUACGGAGGGUGCAAGCGUUAAUCGGAAUUACUGGGCGUAAAGCGCACGCAGGCGGUCUGUCAAGUCGGAUGUGAAAUCCCCGGGCUCAACCUGGGAACUGCAUUCGAAACUGGCAGGCUAGAGUCUUGUAGAGGGGGGUAGAAUUCCAGGUGUAGCGGUGAAAUGCGUAGAGAUCUGGAGGAAUACCGGUGGCGAAGGCGGCCCCCUGGACAAAGACUGACGCUCAGGUGCGAAAGCGUGGGGA